ACAAGUUUUAGAUUAAUAUUCACAGCGAAAAUAAUAAUUCAUUAGAAGAGUUAAGUAGAGAAUGACACUACUACAAAAUAGUAAAUAGAUAACGCGUAAAAAAUGUUGUGGUUUGUAUCCCAGAAAUGUCGUGAUUAAGGGUGUCAUCUAUUUGACACCUUUUAUACAACGUUUUUAAAACGUUGUGGUUUGUCACAUUUACUUUCUAGAAAUCAUUGGAUACUUGAAAAAUAUUGUAGAUG
rnacentral:lncRNA from 1 species